rnacentral:misc_RNA from 1 species
GUCUCAAAUUCCCAUUUCAAUGGAUACUUGCCAUUUCAAAAUACAACCACGGACAGCUAUAGACAAGUUUAGUUGACUUUUGCACGCUAAUUAGUAUAUGAAAUGUUAGACCAAAAAUAAAACAAAAUAAUCACAAGCAACUCUUCAUUUAAUGUUUCUAAAGAAUCCCUUGCAGAUUCACACUGCUACCACCAACCCACCCACAGAAAAGAAAAA